rnacentral:lncRNA from 1 species
CUCCAGUCUGCUUUUUUGUUGAGUGAAGAUUCUGCUCCCUUCCAGCUUGUGCUUUGCCAAGUCCAUUAUCCACCUUGGAUGGCAGUUUGCAAACUGCAGCCACCCGUAAUCCCAAGAUGUUGCUGCUGGAUUUUUCCAGGUUCUCAUCACUGGUGAGCACUUAGAGAACAUCUGCAAACAGCAGGAGGGGCUGGCACAGUGUGUUCCACUGGCAGAUGACAUCUGUAACACUGGCACAUCCAACUGGCACAGGAGAGCUGCUCUGAGCUCCUGGGCAGCAUCCAGAGAGGGGAGUUUGGAGAGAUCACCUCUAAAAUUCAGCCAGGGUGCCACAAGGAGAAAGGAAAUCCUGAAGAGAGCUGGCCUGCAGCAAGGUACAGAACAGAACUAUUUAAAUCAAGAAAUAUCUCUCCUUUCUUGUCUUGGAGCUGGCUGUGUCAGUCUUCAGUUUUCAGUGGGGAAAAAUCCCAGCCCAUGGAAUUUGUGGCUUUCUAAACCAUUCCUUUGUGUGGUGACUUCACAUCAGAGCAGAUCCUGCUUCUCCAGAGGGGUGGGAGCAGGGAUUGCUGGUCCACAGGAAAUUUUGGUGGUGGAACAAGCACUAAAUUGUGGAUUUUAAACAAACAGGAGCAGACGUCUGCAGCAGGUAAUGCCCAGCCUGGACGUGUGUUCCUUGGCUCCAUAAAACUUGCAUAUUUUCCACCUGGAUAUUGUUUUUAUUGGAGCUCUCCCAG